CCUUGACCCACUGAGUGAGGCCAGGGAUUGAACUGAAACCUCAUGGUUCCUAGUCGGAUUCCUUAACCACUGAGCCAUGAUGGGAACUCCUUAAUUUAGUUUUAUGUAUUUUAAAUAUUCCAUCAAGACCUCAUCUUUAACACAUGGGCUAUUUAUUUCAAAGUGUGUUGCUGAAUUUUCGCAUUUAGAGGUUAUCCUGUUGUCUUUCUGUUACUGAUUUGUAAUUUGAUUUUAAAAUCACACUGUAUAUGAUUUUCAUUUCUUAAAAUUUGUCAAAAAUUUAUAGCCUCUUGGUGAGUUCUAUGCAUGCAUGCGUACUUGGAAAAGAUAAAUAUUUUGCUGUUGUUGGAUAAAGUGUUCUAUUUAUUUAAGACAGUUAGAUCCUAGUUUAUUUUGGUGGUUCAGAUCUUCUGCAACCUUGUUCAUUGUCUUUCUGGUGGUUCUGUCAGUUACCAAGGUCAGGGUAUUGAAGUUUCCAGUUGUAACUGUGGGUUUUUCUGUUUUCCCUUUUCAGGUGUGUCAGGUUUUGCUUCCUAUAUUUUGAGGCUCUGUUUUUUGCUGGAUAAUUAAGUUUUCCUGGUAGAUUGAUAUUUUUACCUUUAUGUAAUAUCUCUCUUUUGAAAUUUUUGUUGCUCUGAAAUCUUUUACCCAAGAUUGAUAUAGUCAUGACUGCUUUUUAAAAAAUUAAUGUUUUCCUAGUGCAACUUUUUUUAUCCUCUUACCUUCAGCCUAUCUCUGUUGUUGAAUUUGGAUUGAGUUUCUUAUAGAAAGCUUGCAUUUGGAUCACUUUUCUUUUUAAUGCAUGCUCUCGAUCUGUCUUGAUUAGUAUUUGGAUCAUUUACUCUUAAGGUAAUUGUCUUAGUCUGCUUGGGCUGCUGUAACAGUACCAUAGACUGUGUAAUUAAAUAAUAGACAUUUAUUUUGUCACAGUCCUAGAGGCUCAGAAGCCCAAGAUCAAGAUGUUGCAACGUAGGUUUCAUUCUGAGACCUCUUCUCUUGACUUGUAGGUGGCUUCCAUCUUGCCCUCUGCCCAUAUGACCUCCUUGUGUGUGGGAUAAGAGAGAAUGGAACUCUCUAGUGUCUCUUCUUAUGAGGACACUAAUCCUAUUGGAUCAGGGCCCUACCUUUUUGAUCUCAGUUAACGUUAAUUAUCUUCUACAGGCCCUGUUUCCAAAUUAGGGCUUCAUCAUAUGAACUUUGGGUUGGGAGAGCCACAGUUCACACCAUAGUAGUUUACUGCCUAUUAUUUAUAUUCUCUUUGUGUCCUCUGGUUCUCAUUCAGGCUUCUGGUAGCAACAUGUUAUCAUUUUGAGUAAAGUGUGAAUAACAUGUUACACUUUUGAGGAAAGUGUUAAAACUUUAUUUCCAUUUAGGUUCCUUUACCAUCCUUGCUUUUAAGUAUUAAACAACAGAGGGUAUUAUAAUUUUUGUUUCGUUCCUCAAUUAUGAUUUAUAAAACCCAUGGGAAGGAUAGUCUAUUGUAUGUACCCAUAUAUCUGUUCUUUCUGUUAUUCUCUCUUGGAUGCUCAAAGUUUCCAUUAUUUCUUUUUUUCUCAUUUCCUUUCUGUUUCAAGAACUUCCUUUAGCCUUUCUUUAAGGUGUAUCUGCUAGUGACAGAUUCUUUUAGAAAAUCUUAUUUGUUUGAUGUUUUUGCCCUUCAUUCCUGAAGGAUAGUUUCUCUGGAUAUAGAAUUUGUGGUUGAUAAUUCUUUUUUUUCAGUGCUUGAAAAAUGAUGUGUGUUCCUUCCUUUUGGUCUCCAUGGUUUUAGAUGAGAAAUCCCCUGUCUUUCAAGCAGGUAUUCCUCUUGAGAUAAUACAUUGUUUUUCUCUGGCUGCUUUCCAGAUUUUUUUUUCUUUGUUUUUAGUUGGUGGAGGGUUAAUUAUCAUUUAUUUUGUCAUGGAUUUCCUUAUGUUUUUCCUGUUUGGUAUUUCCAUUUCUUGCAUCUUCGCAUUUGUUUGUUUUGCCAGUUUGGGGGAGUUUUUAGCCAUUAUUUAUUUGAAUACUCUUUCAGUCCUGUUCUCUUUUCUUGUUUCCUUCUGGGACUCUGAUGAUACAAAUGAUGGUUCUUUUAUUAGAGUCCCACAGGUUCCUAAGCAUUUGUUUGUGUUCAGUUGGUUUUCUCUGUUGCUCAGAUUGGUUAAAUUCUACUCUUUUUUCAGAUUUCCUUUUUUUUUUUUUUUUUUAAUUUCCUCUCUCUGCUCUACUAUUGAUCCCAUCUAGAGAGUAUUUCUGUCAAUGUAUUUUUUUGGUUCUGUGAUUUCCAUUUGGUUCCUUCUUACAAUUCUUUUUUUUCUUUUUUACUUAUUAAAAUUUUUAAAACUCGAGGUAUAAUUGAUACAUACUGUUAUAUUUCAGAUAUACAGUAUAAUGAUUCUGUAUGUGUAUACAUGGCAAAAUGAUUACCACAAUAAGCCUGAGAAACAUCUAUCAUCUUACAUUGUUACCAAACAAUUCUUUUUUCUUAUAGUGAGAACUUUUAAGAUCUCUUUACAACUUUGAACUUUCAAGUAAGCAAUGCAGUAUUAUUAACUAUAGUCCCCAUACUGUACAUAACAUCCCCAUGACUUAUUUACUUUGUAAAUGGAAGUUUGUACCUUUUGACUGCCUUUAUCCUUUGCUCUGAUCCUCGAGCUCCUAUGUCUCUGGCAAGCACUGAUCUAUUUUGUUUCUAUGAACUUGGGUUUUUUUGUUUUUGUUUUCAGAGUCCACGUUUGUGAACUUCUACAGUAUUUGUGGGAUUGCUGGUGUAUAUGAUAGUUUCAUUUAUUACAUAUAUAAUAAUAUAAAUGAAUAUAUAUUAUUUUUAUAUAUAAUUUUUGAUUUUUGUUUUUCAUUUGUUUCAAAAGAAUAUGAACUUGAUUGUUGAAGCAUUUUUAUGACCACUGCUUCACCUUCCCUGUCAAAUAAUUCCAACAUUUGAUUCACCUUUGUAUCAAUGUUACUUUAUUUUCUUCUUUCAUUUGAGUUGUGAUGCUCAUGUUUUUGGUAUGACAGGUGAUUUUUUUUUUUUUAAUUGCAUUCUGGACAUUUUGUCUGCUAUGCUGGAUACUCUGAGUCCUAUUUAAAACUUCUGUUUUAACAGAUAGUCAUCCUGUAAAGGUUUAGCAUCCUGCCUCCUUUUAUGGACUGUGAAUCUAGUGAUGGCUUAAUUUUCAGAACCUUUGUGGUGUUAUUUUGUUCUUCUUAGUUUAUUUGGUACUACUGGGGCUCCCCCUGGUUCCUGCCGUUGCUGCCAGAGGAGAUGGAAGGGCUUUCCCCAGGCGGGGCCACCUUGUGUCUUUGUAUGGAAGAGCAGCAUUUCAGGUCUUAAGGACUAAAGAUACUUCCCGGUCUAGUCACUUGUUGUGGAAUUUUUCUUGCCAGUGCCAUUUGGCCAUCCUGUUACAUCAGUUAGGGCAGUCUCAACCCUUGAGGAGAAGGGGAGUCCCUCCCCUGGCUGCUGCUUGUUAGUGGGGCCCCCCAAUAAAAUCCCCUUGCCUCUGGUGGUGGCCUUACCUGGCAUUGUUGGAGGGAUUCUUCUUGUUAAAUCCUGGAGAGGAAUGAGUCCGCCUUGGACUGUCUUCUGUGCUGGAUUGAGCAUUGCAACAUGUCAGAACUAGGUUACUGUCUUAUGUUGGGAGCAGAAGAUGCCUGCCCCUGUGUUGUUUCUCUAGUCUCAGGAUCUCAAACCAGUAUGCCUUCCUUUUACCAUCCUCCAAAAUUCUUUGGUCGUCUCUUUCAUUAAUUUUAGGGUUUAUAGUUGUACUUAGAGGAGAAGAGCAGGGAGAAACCAGCCCAAGCCGUCUUGUGGGGAAGGUCCCAGUUAUGUUUUAAAAUAUUUUAAAUUUUCAACUUACAUGUAACUUUAACAGAAGACACUUUUUUUUUUUUUUUUUUGAGGAUAUCUUGCUUCUUAAAUAAUGACCCCGGCCAAUAACCUUAUGUGAUGAUGUAAAGAUUGAUUUUUGUGUACAUUACUUUUACUUUGCCAACCAGGAAUAUUUGUAUUUCCAAAGGGAAUCAAAAUUGGCUAAAGAAAAUUUUCAUUUUUUGAAUAGAUAAAUUUCAGUUGCUUGAACUUAAGCAGAACGUUAUAAUAGGAAAACAGUGGUCAAAUACUGAGGUAUUGGUGUAUAUACAAUGGCUACAUUCUUUGUGUGUGGGAGGUGUGUGUGUUUGGUGUGUCACAUAUUUCCCUUUCUUUUAUGUGUUACCACUGCUGUAACAUUCUCCCCCCCCACCAGCUUGGCUUUCUUUAUCUUAGUAUUCAUUUCUUUUGAUGAGAAGAAUUUUUGUGUAGGUAAAUUUAUCAGUUUUUAAAAGUGAUUAAUACUUUUCAUAUCCUAUUUAGAAAUCUUCGCCUAACCCAAGGUAAUAAAGAUACUUUUUUUUCUUCUAUCAGCUUUAUUGUUUUGACUUUCGCAUUUACAUAUAUAAUACAUUUGGAAUUGAUGUUUGUUAAUUAUAUGAGGCCUCAAGAUUCCUUUUUUCCCCUUAUAUGGAUAUUCAGUUCACUUAACUUCAUUAAUUGAAAAGACUAUCCUUUUCCCACCACACUUGUAAUGUGAUUUUUCUUAUAAAUCAAGUAUCUAGGAGUGAGUCUUUUUCUGGACACACUAUGCAAGGACUAUCCAGUAGAAGUAUAAAGCAAAUCACAAAUAUGAGCCGUAUGUGCAGCUAUGAAUUUCUAGUAGCCACAUUUAAAAAGGUGAAAAGAAACUGAUGAAAUUUGUUUUCGUAUAUGAACCCAGUACAUAAAAAUAUUAACAAGUAAUCAAUAGGAAAUUAUUGUGGGAGUUUACAUUUUUUGUUACUAUUUUUUUGAUAUCUGGCUUACAUUUUACAUUUACAACGAAUCUCAAUUCUGACAUAAAAUUUUCAUCAGAAAUACUUGAUUUGUAUUUAGAUUUCAUAAAACUUACAGUUGAAAAAGUAGAUCGACAUACCUCACUUGGUCCAAACCAUACUUAAAUGUUUGCUAAUAGCUAAACCAAUUAUCAGCUCUUGAAUUUAAGUUCAUUAAAAUCAAAUUUAAAUUUAAUUCCUAAAUUUCACUAGCCACAUUUCAGGUGCUCAGCAGUCAUAGGUGUCUGGUGGCUACUGUAUUGAACAGUACAGCUUCAUUCUGCUGUCGUUCUGUGUCUGUCCUUGCUCCUGUAACAUACUGUCUUAAUCACUAUAUCUGUAUAAGUCUUGUAUCUGGAAGUAUCAAGUCUUCCGACUUUAUUCUUGGCUAUUAUUAAUCCUUUAAACUUGCCAAUAAAUUUUAGAAUCACCUUGUCAACUUCCACUAGCAUUUUUUCUCAUGGUUACUGCUAUUCGCAAUGUUACCUGUUUACAUAAUUAAAAGAAAAGCAAAAACCAAAAAAAACAAAAAACCUGUAUUGAGAUACGGAGGUUGGACGGUUAGUUGCAUGGUUAGCUAAGCAACUAGCUCAGAACCAUCAGCAUCACUCUUCCUGCUGCUCGUUAUCUGCAUCUCCACAAAAGUAUAAAAUAAAACAUGAGGUGUGGCAUAGGCUUUUCAAGAGCAUUGCGAAUAUCAAUUAUGCAAGUCACAAAUCAGACAUCAUUUAAAAAUAUAAUAUAGAAUAUGAAAAAAAUAAUCCUUAUCCUUAUUUCCUCUUAUUUUACUAGAGAGUGAAGCCUAAGAAGGCAUUAGGACUAGAGAAGAGAUUUCAGUAGUUACUGAUACUGGAAGUUAUAUACUCCUCUGUACUAUUUCUGGUACUAAGCACAGGGCCUGACACUUAGUAGGUAUUCAAAUAUUUGAGUAAAUGAGACAAUAUACUUGGAACUCUUUGACCAGAUGUGGAGCCUUAUAUUUGUAGUUCACAAGCUAGACCCUCAGUUACUGCAGACCAACUUUUUUUUUUAGUUAAAAUGGCUGAGAAAUAUUACACAAAGUAAUAUAUGGCGUUUUGACUUUGUGACAUUUCUUUAAAAUAUGAAAAGAGGUGUUUGGGGACAUAAUUAUAAUGGAAUUACUAUAUAAUUUGGUAUAACUCAUGAUGCAUGAUGUAUGACUAGAAAGUAAAUUGUUCUGAUUUGAAUAGAACACUAUUAAAGUAAAUCAUCUCAUGUUUUUUAAAUAGUUCCCAAAUUGUAUUCACGUAAGACCAGUUAUCUGGCUAAUUGUUCUAACCCAGACAUUACCACAUUUAAAUCUUUGAUUUCAUCACUACGCUAUGAACUAACUUAUUAAAUUCUUAUUUAAUAAGAAAAGUUCCUGUUGGACUCGAGAGCCCUGAGAUAAUUUCUACAUAGUUCUUUUUAGAAAAUGUUUUAAAACUCAAUAUGGCCGUGGUAUUAGGUUGAGCGGUCAAGAAAACACUCACUGGGUUUCAGGUCGAGCAGUCAGGAAAGCAUUCAUUGGAUUUCUUUUUCUGACAAAAUGACUGUCCGAAUCUUUAAGUGAUAAAACAUUGAAAACAUGCUUGACUUUUUUUUUAAAAAAUCAUGACAGCAGAAAGUCAUUUUAAAUGAAUGGGUGAGUUUGCAAAAAGGAACAGGUAGGUAUCAGGAAAGUAAGAUGGCUUUUAAAACUAUAGAAUUUGAAAAAAAUAAUAGAGACCUAGGUGGCAUAUACAGACCUAGGGGACCUAUAGCUUUAGAGCACAGAGAGGCUAGGGACCAAGAUGUGGCUUCCACAGGUUGAAACGCCAGAUCAGAGACUACUUUAGGGAAAGGACAAGCAAGCAUAAAGCCAAAAGUACCCUGUGAAAGUAGGCAUGGAGAACGGUCUCUCUGGCCUUGGCUCUGAAUAGAGGUUAAAAGCAAAAAAAAAAAAAAAAAAAAAAACCACAAAACUCCCCUGAGAAUUUGUGGCUGCUAACUUGCCCUCAUGUGUGCAAGUGGUAAAAUUUUGGACUUAGAUUAAUGCUGUUUGCAUGAUCUGAAAAAUUCUAAACUGAAACUCAGACCUGGGUCUUUGGAGCUUCAGGUGCUUGACAGAACCACACUCAAGUGCUCCGUGGAAGUAAAUAUCUUCAGCCAAGCUGCAGAGAAUUGCCACUGUGUUACACAGAAUAGGAGCGCACAAUCAGAAGCAUCUGUCAUAACAAGCCACCAUGAUCGAGAGUCAGUAGGGACACCAGACCAAAGGACCAAAUGCAGUAGACUUUAGUUAUUGGAAUAUUAAUGCAGUUUAUAGAAGGAGUAUUUUAGUAUCAUUAAAGGAAUAAAAGGAGAAAUUGCAAACAUCAUAAGGAGCAAGGGGUUAUUGACCAGGCUGUUUUGAAAAUGAACCAAAUAGAAAUUGUAGGAAUGAAAACUUAAAAACAAAUUUAAAAACAUCACUAGUAAUGUUAAAUAGGAGAUUAGAUUCAUCAGAAGAUGACGAGAAGGUAGGUCAGAAGCUCAUACGGAGAAGGCAGCACAGAGACGGGGAUGGAAAUUGUGAUAAAAAGGCUGAGAUUCAAGGAAUAAACUGCAGAAGAUGAUAGAGGGAGAAUGGGGAAGAGACAAUAUUUGAAGUGAUUAAUGGCUCAAGUUAUUCUAGGAAAAAGAUCAUAAUCUUCACGUCUUGGAAGCCCAAGAAACAGAAAGAAAUCCAUGCUUGGGCACAUGGAUUUAUUGUAGUGAAACGCAGAACAAUAAAGACAAAGGUCUAAUUGCAGAAGCCAUUAGGGACGUAAUGAAAAUGCUGAAAGAAAAUAAGGGCCAAUUGAGAAUUGUAUUUCUAGUGAAACAGUUUUUCAAAGGAGAAGGUAAAAUAUAUUUUCAGAUAAGCAAAAACAAGGAGUUUAACCUGUUUACCUAAGCCUCUGUCCUCCAAAUAACUUUGAAUGAUUUACUUCUCAUCUUAGAAGGAAGGCUUGAGAUUUAAGAAGGAGCAUUACCAAGUGAAAUGGUAGAAUAGGGGGAUAAAUCUAAAGGUAGAUUAAUGAUGUAAGACAAAAACAUUCAAAUUGUGGUGUUUGAAAGACCUCAAUAAUAUCAGGGUUGCCAUAAAAUAUUGUAUUACAAUUUGAUGUAAAUGGGAAGGAGAUAACUAGAUUUAAAUCCUCUUCAGGCCCUUGUAUCAUUUGAGAAUAAGCUAAAACAUAGCAAGUCUGUAAUACGAAAGUUAAGAAUUAAAGCUUCACAUUUAAAAUAAUGAAAACAGUAACUGUCUUUUAAAUGAGAAAAGAAAAAAAAUUGUAAUGAGGAAAAAAGUAAUCAAGAGGCAAAAAA